rnacentral:rRNA from 1 species
CCUACGGGAGGCAGCAGGAGGGAAUAUUGCUCAAUGGGGGAAACCCUGAAGCAGCAACGCCGCGGGGAGGAUGAAGGUUUUCGGAUUGUAAACUCCUUUUGUUAGAGAAGAAAAUGACGGUAUCUAACGAAUAAGCACCGGCUAACUACGAGACAGCAUCCGCGGUAAUACGGAGGGGGCAAGCGUUACUCGGAAUCACUGGGCGUAAAGAGCGCGUAGGCGGGAGAGCAAGUCAGAUGUUAAAGCCUAUGGCUUAACCAUAGAACUGCAUUGUAAACUGUUAUUCUUGAGGAUGGGAGAGGUAGGUGGAAUGCUUGGUGUAGGGGUGAAAUCCGGAGAUAUCAAGAGGAAUACUCAUUGCGAAGGCGACCUGCUAGAACAUAACUGACGCUGAUGCGCGAAAGCGUGGGGAGCAAACAGGAUUAGAUACCCUUGUAGUC